rnacentral:rRNA from 1 species
UACAGAGGUCUCAAGCGUUGUUCGGAUUCAUUGGGCGUAAAGGGUGUGUGGGUGGCGCCGUAAGUCGGGUGUGAAAUUUCGGAGCUUAACUCCGAAACUGCAUUCGAUACUGCGGUGCUUGAGGACUGGAGAGGAGACUGGAAUUCAUGGUGUAGCAGUGAAAUGCGUAGAGAUCAUGAGGAAGACCAGUGGCGAAGGCGGGUCUCUGGACAGUUCCUGACACUGAGACACGAAGGCCAGGGGAGCAAACGGG